AGUGUGGCCGACUCGGUUGCCACUGGGCUAGGGGGUGGUUCUGCUCUUAGAGCGGUACUGACGUAGGUAUAACAAGAAAGGGGAUUUACUCUGCUUAGCAAAGAAUGCCCGCGACGACGCACACCGGAGCAACGCACACCCAUGCCGGCGCUACGCUAGGAACUACGCUAUGCUAUACUACGCACGCAGGAGAACGACGCCAUGAUGUAGAGGGGCUACGCCCAUGCACACGCGCAUGCAUCUGCAGCAGCACGCUACACGCAACAUGCCGAUGCAACUCUGGCACGGCGUCGACUCACGCCCGUUGGCGCUAGCAGGAGGGGAUGCGGAGGGGAGCGGGGAGCUGCGCCUCACCGAGGGUUCACCGAAGGAGAUCCGGUGCCGAAGAGGACGAAACGCGACGUGUUGGUGCGAAAGAAGAUCGCUGGAGCUCGAGGAACAAGUCGGCCGUCGUGGACGUCAGGGAAGAAGCUCUUGGCGCCAAUCUUCGCGAAAAUGGAACCCCCUUGGCGUCCUCUUGCUCCUGGAAGGGUCGGGGUGGAGGGAGACGUGGCC
rnacentral:lncRNA from 1 species